rnacentral:rRNA from 1 species
GACGAACGCUGGCGGCAUGCCUUACACAUGCAAGUCGAACGGCAGCACGGGUGCUUGCACCUGGUGGCGAGUGGCGAACGGGUGAGUAAUACAUCGGAACGUACCUUAUCGUGGGGGAUAACGCAGCGAAAGCUGUGCUAAUACCGCAUACGCCCUGAGGGGGAAAGCGGGGGAUCGAAAGACCUCGCGCGAUUAGAGCGGCCGAUGCCUGAUUAGCUUGUUGGUGGGGUAAAAGCCCACCAAGGCGACGAUCAGUAGCUGGUCUGAGAGGACGAUCAGGCACACGGGGGCUGAGACACGGCCCAGACGCCUGCGGGAGGCAGCAGUGGGGAAUUUUGGACAAUGGGGGCAACCCUGAUCCAGCAAUGCCGCGUGAGUGAAGAAGGCCUUCGGGUUGUAAAGCUCUUUUGUCAGGGAAGAAACACCGGCUCUAACACAGUCCGGGAAUGACGGUACCUGAAGAAUAAGCACCGGCUAACUACGUGCCAGCAGCCGCCGUAA